GCCCCUUGAGCCAGGACCAGAGGAGGCACAAGUGGGAACACAGAGGAGGGAGCCACCAUGAGAUGACAAGAGACCCAGGGCAGCCGGAAGAUGGCAGAGCAGGAUCAGCCACUGUCCUGAAGAUUGCUCCUCACAUGGGAGUCCAAGUUCUCAGAAGGAUCUUUAGUUCGCAGCUAGAGCUUUGCUCAGAGAUAAUGGACGUCACUUUCACCUGGACAGAUAUUCAUAGGAUGCACACAACCUCAAGGGGACAGAAUUUGCCAUUGUCCCAUGAGCCUGGGCGAUAGACACAGGGACCUUUUGGUGACCCACUCCUGUGUCUGUGGAGCUGCCACUAGAUAAUGGUGAAAAGAGAGUAAGAAGAGGAGUGAGGGAGAGUGUGGGCCACAGGCAUUCUGGGUCCCAGCAAUACCCUGUGACACGAGCUUGCUCGGUGAUCAACAGUAUUCUCAAGAAAAUCUGCCCAAGAAAGUUCACAAAAAUCAUGAGUGCAAAUUUCAUUUUGUGAAAAUUGAAAAAGUAGUUUAAUGCAUCCUACUGGCUGGUUUGGACACACAGGCUGCUGGCACCUGGGGACUCCUGCUUCUCCAUGGGGACUGGCUUUGCUCCUUGAGGUGCCUGCUUCUUUCAUUAAGCUGUAUAAGUGUGCUCCUGGGGGACAGGACAAUGCACUAUCCUCUGCCCACUCACCGGCCUCCACAGGUGCCUGCACUGACCCUGGCCGACCACAGGUGUUGCUGGUAUCAGCAGGUUAGGAAGCCAACUCAGAAGGGACCUUUCCCAGGGGAGACUCAAGCCACACACACCUAUGUCUACGGGUGAUGCUGGAAUUCAUCCCCCUGAACUCUUCCCUUACAUAGAUAGGCAACAUGCUCAGAUGCAAAUAGGUCAGAGGACACCGUGCUUGUCACACACAUCUGUGGGCUCUCUUCCCUGUGGGCCAAGACAUCAGUGGAAAUGGUGCCGGUGAACAGGCUGCAGAACUCCCCAGACUCGGCCCCCUGGCACGGGCAGAGUGGAAGGAAGCACAAGGAAUAUUGAAGGGUUUUGAGGAUGAUUGAAGAGACCCAUGGGGGGCUCCUCAGCUUACAAGGGGGUCGUGUCCUGAUAACCCUCAUAAA